GAACCUUACCAGGCCUUGACAUGCAGAGAACUUUCCAGAGAUGGAUUGGUGCCUUCGGGAACUCUGACACAGGUGCUGCAUGGCUGUCGUCAGCUCGGUGUCGUGAGAUGUUGGGUUAAAGUCCCGUAACGAGCGCAACCCUUGUCCUUAGUUACCAGCACGUUAUGGUGGGCACUCUAAGGAGACUGCCGGUGACAAACCGGAGGAAGGUGGGGAUGACGUCAAGUCAUCAUGGCCCUUACGGCCUGGGCUACACACGUGCUACAAUGGUCGGUACAAAGGGUUGCCAAGCCGCGAGGUGGAGCUAAUCCCAUAAAACCGAUCGUAGUCCGGAUCGCAGUCUGCAACUCGACUGCGUGAAGUCGGAAUCGCUAGUAAUCGUGAAUCAGAAUGUCACGGUGAAUACGUUCCCGGGCCUU
rnacentral:rRNA from 1 species